UACAGAGGGUGCGAGCGUUAUUCGGAAUUACUGGGCGUAAAGCGUGCGUAGACGGUUUCGUAAGUCGGGUGUGAAAUCCCCGGGCUCAACCUGGGAACUGCAUUCGAAACUGCGAGGCUAGGGUACGGAAGAGGGAAGCGGAAUUUCUGGUGUAGCGGUGAAAUGCGUAGAUAUCAGAAGGAACAUCAGUGGCGAAAGCGGCUUCCUGGUCCAGUACCGACGUUCAGGCACGAAAGCGUGGGGAGCAAACAGG
rnacentral:rRNA from 1 species